rnacentral:lncRNA from 1 species
CCCUAGAAAAAUUUGUCUUUUUUAUUUGAAGUACAUGGUUUCCGUUGCUCUCAUAUAUUUCGGGAAGAAAAGCAGUCCGGCCCAGACAAAAUAGCCAAUUUAUGACUGCUCUCAUCUUCACUUAUUUGGCAUGGGGCUCCACCCUUAACCUACGUUGUUGUUGCUGCUGUUGUUUUCAAAAAUAGUUUUUGAUGAACAGGCCUCCCAUGUUCCACAAUAAUUUAUAGAGACUCAUGGUCAUAGAUCGAUAAAAUCCCUUUUGAAUAUAAAUCUGCGAUCAUUUCAAUAAGAGUGAACCAACCUUCUCUCACCAUAGGCUUUGCUUUGGGCGGGAGGGAUCUAGAAUCUAUUAUCAUCUUUACGAUUCAAGUUUACCUAGCCCUUCAAGGACUUUACAAAAUAAAAACCCUUCAACUCAAACUCUUCAUAUUCAUGAGUAAAACUUAAAUGUAAUUGAGCGUAUAUUUCUUUUUUGUUAUUAUUUUUUGAGCAAUUGUACAAUAUUUAUUGAUAAUGAAAUCGAAUACAUACAGAUAAAAAAAAGGCAAACACAAAACCAGAGCCAUCAUCCUCAUCUUCAAAACUUCAAAAAGGGUUUAUGGGCAGUCAGUAUUUUCCUAUCAUAAAAGAAGCAUAUGCAUAAUGGUAGGAAGGAUAGAACGAAUUAAGCACUAGCCAGUAAGCUCUCCCUAAUCAUUAUGGUUCCAUUUUUAAUUGUUAAUUCUAAUAACCAAAAAAUAAAAAGGAUAAUGGUAGGAAGACCAAAAUUUUAAACCAAAUUUACAAACUAAAUGUUGUGUCAUAAAUAUAAAAUAAGCACGUUAAUUAACAUUCAAUUAAUAAUCCAAUCUCAUUUGGUUUACAAAAUUUAAUUUAAAAUUUUGAUCUUCUAGCAUUACCCUGAUAAAAAUAUUCAAGUUAGGUAUUACACCCUCUCCAUCAGUCCAUUGGCCCCAUGAGCCACAUGCAUGUUUGAGUAUCGAGAAACCCCGGCGGGCUUUCAAAACCGAUUUUCACCCUUAUAAAAAUAACAAAUUAACAAAAACAAAGUUUCAGAUAAUACAAUUAGUUAUUGAAUAUUGAGAAAAAUAAACCUAUGAAAGAUCAAGAGACAAAAAUUGGAAAUUGUCAAAUUGAUGGGGACUAACAACAAAGAUAGUCCGAAAAACAUUUCACUCUCAAGGCCCCCCGCCAACUUGGAGAGGCUACAAGCCUCUCUACAUGUUCUUUUUCUUUAUGGCAUACAGUCCUUUUAUGGUACUUAAUUUGCAUACUAAACUAAUUCUAUAUAGCAACCCUCACCGUUUGACCUAUAUUAUUUACAGGGACACAUGCAAGUUACUGCAGAAGAAGAAUGAAGUGUGGGGGAGAGGAAAAUGUGAGACUGAAUAGUUAAUCGGUAAUUUGAUAAUCAUAUCAUUUUUAUUUUGAUGAGAGUGAUAUAGAAGAAAUGUAUAAGAAAAAACGUACAAAAUGAAAACAAAAAAUAAAAAACUAUUUUGAGUUGUUUUCACUUUCAAGAUUUGUUUUCAUUCAUCAUUUUUUCUUUCUUCCUCUCUGUCUCCCAUCAUCGGUGGCGGAGUCAACAUGGGCCAUUGGUUACUCAUGAUCCCAAUAAUUUCAUAACUUCAAUGUAUAUUUAUCUAUAUAUUUUUGUAUGAACUCUAUUCAUAAUUGUGACAAAAAGAAAGAAUGAGUAAAAACACUAAAAACACUGAAUUACAAACUGAUGCUUCUUUUAUGCAACCCCAUGUAUUGUUAUUUGUAGAUUUUCUUCUUCUUUCCUUUGUCUUUCUUCUCCUAUUUCUCGUGUUCGAUAAAAAACUUCACUUGAUAAGCCUCAGCAAAAUCAACAUAGUGCGGCAUAACUUGGUAUGUACUCACCAGCAACUCGACGAAAUGAUCAAAUGAUUUUAUUUUUUUAUUUUUAUUUUUUGCUAUAAUUAUAUGACCACAUUGUCAUGAAAUUCUAGCUCCACCACUGACUUCACUCAAUAAGUAUUGGCAAAAUCGGCAUAAUGUGACAUAACUCGGUAUGUACUCACUAGAAGCUCGACAAAAUGAUCCAAUGAUGUUUUUUAUGCUAAAAUUAGAUGACCCCAUUUUCAUAAAAUUCUGGCUCCGCCUCUCUGCCACUGCCCAUCAUUCUUAUUUAUAUCCCUCAUUUCUACCUAUGUUUUCAUCAUAUCUCAAUCUCAAAGAGUAAAAAUUAAAAAACUAAAAAUAAAUUAAUUACUAAACGAGCUCUAAUAAGUAAAUUACUAAGAUCACUUAAUCUUAGAUAUUGAUUGUCUGAUCCUGUUUGAAAAGUGCACAUUCUAGCCACUAUGGAGUACAUGACUAAAGUCAGAUUUCUUCUUAAUUUCAACAUAUGAAGACCACUAGUAAUUAACUACCAUUUUAACCUAGUCAAAGGUAUGAGUGAACCUUCAAGCGCCAAAUAUAGAUUUAGCUAAGGUAUAUGCAUGCAUGUUACCUUAGGGGUUAAAGCAAAUUGGGUUGUACUCUUCACAAUCAUGCGGUCACGUCCAUUGUCACAAAUCUGGAUCGAUCGAUCUCCUGCAGAAAGCAACCAGUCUGCAAACCUUGGACCAUCCUAUUUCACUUAGAGCUGUAGAUUUUCAAGACAUAUAUUCAUGUUCAGUACUCAAUUACAUGCAUGAAUCUCAAUGGAUGAGGCAACUGAACUCGUGCCAUACCAUAUUAAAGGACCGUCAUUAGUCCAUUGACAAUUGGGAAGUAUAUAUUUUCUUCCUUUUUGUUUUUGGCAUCUCUGAAAAAUACGCAGAAAAAAUUGAUGAAAUGUUUAAUCUCGAGCUACCUAAAUUUGAAGGGAGUACUACUGUACUAGUGGCAGUUAAAUUGAGAAGGAGACCCCACAAUUCGUUGAAAAUGACGAACAAGUGUAAUUAAGGUACCGUAGACAAUAUAAUCUGAUUGUAAUUUCUUUUUUUUAGCUUUGAUACCUUUAAUAAUAGAAUAAUGACUGCAAUUUCACUUGAAGAAGAAGUAAUUAAUUAAAAAUAUGGUUAGCAGCAAUUAGAUAAUUAUUUUUGGGACACUUUGGAUGCGGUCCCUAACUAUCAAUAUUCUUUGAUUGAAACCUUGUUAGUUUUUAGUUUUUUAUUGAGGUCCUUGACAUUAAUGUAAUAAUGUAAGUUACUAUAUUUUUUAAAUUAAAAAUUAAAAAUUGAAAUUUGUAAUUGUUUAUAUUAAUGAGAUUUUAAAUAAAACCCAUAAUUUAUGGGAUUAAAAAUAAUAAAAUAUAAAUUAUACUCUCUAUUAUAUUGUGUGUGUGUGUGUAUAUACAUAUAUGUAUGGGUACAUUAACCAAAAUUAACAAAAA